AAGUUGGAAUCGCUAGUAAUCGCGGAUCAGCAUGCCGCGGUGAAUACGUUCCCGGGCCUUGUACACACCGCCCGUCACACCAUGAGAGUCGGGAACACCCGAAGUCCGUAGCCUAACUGCAAAGGGGGCGCGGCCGAAGCCACUUAGCUAACCCUUUUGGGAAGCGAGUGUCGAAGGUGAAAUCAAUAACUGGGGUGAAGUCGUAACAAGGUAAC
rnacentral:rRNA from 1 species